GAGUGGCGAACGGGUGAGUAACACGUGGGUAACCUGCCCAGAAGUAGGGGAUAACACCUGGAAACAGAUGCUAAUACCGUAUAACAGAGAAAACCGCAUGGUUUUCUUUUAAAAGAUGGCUCUGCUAUCACUUCUGGAUGGACCCGCGGCGUAUUAGCUAGUUGGUGAGGUAAAGGCUCACCAAGGCAGUGAUACGUAGCCGACCUGAGAGGGUAAUCGGCCACAUUGGGACUGAGACACGGCCCAGACUCCUACGGGAGGCAGCAGUAGGGAAUCUUCCACAAUGGACGCAAGUCUGAUGGAGCAACGCCGCGUGAGUGAAGAAGGGUUUCGGCUCGUAAAGCUCUGUUGUUAAAGAAGAACGUGGGUAAGAGUAACUGUUUACCCAGUGACGGUAUUUAACCAGAAAGCCACGGCUAACUACGUGCCAGCAGCCGCGGUAAUACGUAGGUGGCAAGCGUUAUCCGGAUUUAUUGGGCGUAAAGCGAGCGCAGGCGGUCUUUUAAGUCUAAUGUGAAAGCCUUCGGCUCAACCGAAGAAGUGCAUUGGAAACUGGGAGACUUGAGUGCAGAAGAGGACAGUGGAACUCCAUGUGUAGCGGUGAAAUGCGUAGAUAUAUGGAAGAACACCAGUGGCGAAGGCGGCUGUCUGGUCUGCAACUGACGCUGAGGCUCGAAAGCAUGGGUAGCGAACAGGAUUAGAUACCCUGGUAGUCCAUGCCGUAAACGAUGAUUACUAAGUGUUGGAGGGUUUCCGCCCUUCAGUGCUGCAGCUAACGCAUUAAGUAAUCCGCCUGGGGAGUACGACCGCAAGGUUGAAACUCAAAAGAAUUGACGGGGGCCCGCACAAGCGGUGGAGCAUGUGGUUUAAUUCGAAGCUACGCGAAGAACCUUACCAGGUCUUGACAUCUUCUGACAGUCUAAGAGAUUAGAGGUUCCCUUCGGGGACAGAAUGACAGGUGGUGCAUGGUUGUCGUCAGCUCGUGUCGUGAGAUGUUGGGUUAAGUCCCGCAACGAGCGCAACCCUUAUUACUAGUUGCCAGCAUUAAGUUGGGCACUCUAGUGAGACUGCCGGUGACAAACCGGAGGAAGGUGGGGACGACGUCAAAUCAUCAUGCCCCUUAUGACCUGGGCUACACACGUGCUACAAUGGAUGGUACAACGAGUCGCGAGACCGCGAGGUUAAGCUAAUCUCUUAAAACCAUUCUCAGUUCGGACUGUAGGCUGCAACUCGCCUACACGAAGUCGGAAUCGCUAGUAAUCGCGGAUCAGCAUGCCGCGGUGAAUACGUUCCCGGGCCUUGUACACACCGCCCGUCACACCAUGAGAGUUUGUAACACCCAAAGCCGGUGGGGUAACCUUUUAGGAG
rnacentral:rRNA from 1 species